AAUAGUUAAAACUUUCAACAACGGAUCUCUUGGUUCUGGCAUCGAUGAAGAACGCAGCGAAAUGCGAUAAGUAAUGUGAAUUGCAGAAUUCAGUGAAUCAUCGAAUCUUUGAACGCACAUUGCGCCCCUUGGUAUUCCGGGGGGCAUGCCUGUU
rnacentral:rRNA from 1 species